rnacentral:ncRNA from 1 species
UGUACUAUCACUGAUACAUAAAGGGAGUCCAUGUAUUUAGACAGCAGGUCGGUGCCCCUAAAAGCAGGUAUCCGCUAAAGAGUGUGUUAAAACUCACCUGCCGAAUACUAGGGCCCCGAAAAUGAAUGGCGCAUAUAGUACUACCGAUCUCAGACAUCAGUUCUAUUGAACUGAGAGUAGGGGGAUGUGGACAUUUUUGUGAAGGUGCAAUGUGAGUUGGACUGGAAGAAUGUCUAUUACAGAUCCUAAUUGAAGUAGCGAUUAUCCAGGCUUGUAUCCUGGGGGCUGAUGAGGAGUAGGGUUUCUGGACAACUUAAACAGAUCCAGAGUUAGUCGAUCCUAAUCUCAAUAAUGGGAGAAAGGGAGUACAGUUGAUAUUCUGUAACUGACAACAGUUCGCGGCAACGCAUACUAUUUUUCUCCGCCAAUCUUAUACCGUUGGUAGGGAUCUCUUUCCUACAUGACAGUACUAAUACCCAGGGAAACUGGUCAUCAGGCGAACUGCGGCGUUCUGCUGGCAAAACAUAGCUUCGGUUAUGUCAAUGGCUAUUGGAUUGGUCCAUGAAGCGAAAAAUAGUUUACUGUGUCACUCGUACCGAUAACCGCAUCAGGUCUUCUAGGUAAGUAGCCUAUGGCCAUUGAGGCAUGAUAGUUCAGGGAAUUCGGCCAAUUAGAGCUGUAACUUCGGGAUAAAGCUUGGCUCUGAUGAAAAUCAGAACCGAUUGUUACGCGGAGAGCCCAACUGUUUAAUAAAAACGUAGUGUCGCGCUGUGGUAGUAUAGCCAGUGAACGCGACAUGAAUCCUGCUCAGUGCUGUGUCUGUUAAUAUGGUUCAAGCCAACGAAGCACCGGUAAAUAGCUGGGGUAACUAUGACUCUUAUCAAAGUAGCGAAAUACCUCGUCACUUAAUUAGUGACCUGCAUGA